CCUACGGGUGGCAGCAGUGGGGAAUAUUGGACAAUGGGCGAAAGCCUGAUCCAGCCAUGCCGCGUGUGUGAAGAAGGCCUUCGGGUUGUAAAGCACUUUCAGUGGGGAAGAAAGCCUUGGGGCUAAUACCCUCGAGGAAGGACAUCACCCACAGAAGAAGCACCGGCUAACUCCGUGCCAGCAGCCGCGGUAAUACGGAGGGUGCGAGCGUUAAUCGGAAUUACUGGGCGUAAAGCGCGCGUAGGCGGUCUGAUAAGCUGGUUGUGAAAGCCCCGGGCUCAACCUGGGAACGGCAUCCGGAACUGUCAGGCUAGAGUGCAGGAGAGGAAGGUAGAAUUCCCGGUGUAGCGGUGAAAUGCGUAGAGAUCGGGAGGAAUACCAGUGGCGAAGGCGGCCUUCUGGACUGACACUGACGCUGAGGUGCGAAAGCGUGGGUAGCAAACAGGAUUAGAUACCCUUGUAGUC
rnacentral:rRNA from 1 species